rnacentral:rRNA from 1 species
AGAGAGAGACAUGCGCGCAUAUCAAUAAGCGGAGGAAAAGAAACUAACUAGGAUUCCCUCAGUAACGGCGAGUGAAGCGGGAAGAGCUCAAAUUUGAAAUCUUCAAGGUUCUACCUUGACGAAUUGUAGUUUAAAGAAGUGUUUUCUGUUGGAGUUUUGGUAAAAGUUCUUUGGAAUAGGACAUCAUAGAGGGUGAGAAUCCCGUAUUUGACCAUUAUUUCCAGCUUUGUGAUACACUUUCAAAGAGUCGGAUUGUUUGGGAAUGCAGUCCAAAAUGGGUGGUAAAUUUCAUCUAAAGCUAAAUAUUGGCGAGAGACCGAUAGCGAACAAGUACCGUGAGGGAAAGAUGAAAAGAACUUUGAAAAGAGAGUUAAACAGUACGUGAAAUUGUCAAAAGGGAAGCGUUUGACACCAGUGUUGUUUUCUCGAAAAUCAAUUAAAGAACUGUUUAUGCUAAGCUGUUUAGACUUUAUCAGCUAAUCUGUUUAGUUUUGAGCUUUUCUUUAAUGCACUUUUCAGUUAACAAGUCAACAUCAAUUUCUUUUGCUGUAAAAAAGCUUGAGGAAGGUGGCUUGAGAUUCGUCUUAAGUGUUUAUAGCCUCUUGCCUCUGCAGUCGGAGAGAUUGAGGUCUGCAGCGUAGAUCCUUCGGGGUUAGAUACAUUUGUGCUAAGUUAUAGCCUUUCAUAGACAACUUGUUGACUAUGAUCAGUCAUGUAGCUUACUCGCUUAUGCUAUUUUACCUACGCUUAGGAUGUUGAUGUGAUACUGCGAGCA